GGGAUGGUAGCUCAGUGGUAGAGUGCUUGCCUUGCAUGCCUGAGGCCCUGGGUUCGAUUCCUCACCACCACA
rnacentral:tRNA from 1 species